UGAUGGGUACCCAAGGGGGAGAAACUAUGGGAGCAGAGGGGAAGAAAGAGCCGGAACAGAGGUGUGUGUUCCCAACCGAUGUCCUACUCCAUGCUUGGGACCUGGCACAGAGGAGAGACGGAGUUUGAGUCCAGGUUGAGCUGACCCAGCACGCAUCCUCCUGCACCAUCAUCGCUUCCUGCGUGAGCCUUGCUAGAACUCACAGGUGAAGACUCUCAGAGGCCAAAGAUGACUUCUGGGAACUGAAUGUUGACUGUUUGCAGAGUGUAAGGCUGGAGCUGGAAUGCAAGUAUCCACCUGUCCCCUGGCUGGACACACCUCCUUUGCCAUUACCUGGAGGGUGUGUCCAGGACGAUGGGCCCUGAGGAGCCCAGCUCUGUGCACUGUGUGACUAAGAGAACCAAGGCUGGGUACUAAAGAGGGGGUGGAGGAAAACACAGGCAACUUUCCCAUCACCAAAUGCUCCUGCUAUCCCUUCCCUGUGGGGUGCUGCAGAGAUGACACGAGGCAGUGAAUUCUUCUCCCUCACCCGUGACUUAACCCUGGGCCCAGAUUGGCCCUGGAAAACAGUGACCACACUCCCCAGACCUCAGAACAAAAGACUGUGAGCCUCCAUCCUGAAAAAUCCUUCAGAAGUGAGACUCAGGGCCCCUUUCUCCAUCACUCCACGCUAUUUUUUUAUGCUCAGUGACUCCACAAGAAAAUAACAGCUCAAUGGACUAAGGCUAAGAGAAACACAAGGGUCUGGCUAAGGGUUGGAUGGGAGCAGAUAUUGCUGCUGCCUGCAUAGCAUGCGUCAUGCGCUCAUUCUUCGGGCAAGGCUGGAGAGGCCUUGGUUUGGCAGAGAACUGAGCUUCCUGCACUGGCAAAAUGGUCUCACUGCUUCUGCUGAGUGCCAAGUGUUUCCAUGAUGAUUUACACCUCUAAAUCAUGGCUUAAAGAGCAUUUGUGAAAAUGUAUGUGUUCUUGUGUCUAAACAGCUCCUACACCAUUACCAACAUUAUUGGUUCCAUUUCAUCAUCCAAACUAGCAGGAAACAGGGGCUUAAGAAAAUGGAACAUAGGAUAGGUAGAAACUGGAAACAAACUGGGCCAUCGAAUGCCAUCCAGAAGGAAGGAGCUGGACGGGGCUCUCCAGAGAGGCCUGGGGCUUUGAGCUGAUGCCGUGCAGUUCUUGUGGCUUUGGAUGAUUUGCUUCUGUCCACUUUCAUCCUGGGCUCUGUGAGAAUACCUUGUUACCUAUUUUAAGAUAAAUGUCUUCCAAGCGUUUCUAGUUUUAAUCCUAGUUUCUCUGUUGUUACGUGGAGAUUCAGAGAUAUCCAAACUCUGCGCUGCCACUGCUGCUGCCGUUGUUCCAGAGUGAUCCUUUUGAAUCAUGUCAAAAAUGCUGAAAUGACUUCCCAUUUCAGUCCAACUCAAGGUUUCCACAAUGGCUUACAAGGCCCUGUAGGACCAGUGUCUCCCCCAUACCAACACUCCUCUGAGCCCCUCUACCAUUCUCCUGUUUGCUCCCUCUGCUCCCGCUACACUGACUUCCUUGCUGCUCCUGGAACAUGCCAGAUAUCUGCCCAGCUCUACGCCUUUGCUCUAGCAGUUUUCUCUACGUUGGUCACUGUUCCCUCAGAUACAAGCUAAGUUCACCUCUUCCUACUAGGCUUUGAAAUCUCCUUCUCAGUGACAUCUAAUCUGACCACCCUGUCUAACACGGCACACUCCCCUCCGACACGCCUGAUCUCCUUUUCUCUGCUGUGUUUUUUUUCCCCGUAGCAUUCAACAUCUUCUAACACUAAGCAUUUUGCUUAUUUAUUAUGCUUAGGUAUUACCUACCUUCCCGUUACUAGGAUAUAAAAUCCAUGAAAGCAGGAAUGUUAAGUCUGUUUUGUUCUCUUAUGUAUAUCAAGUGCCUGGAACAAUGCCUGACAGAUGUAUCUACUUAAUAAAAUGCAUGAAUGAAUAAAUAAAUGAA